rnacentral:rRNA from 1 species
GAUUUCUGGCUUGAAACAUUGGGCCGGCCACGGUUUCGUGUGUUAGUGCCUUAUGUUCUAGCCAUCCUUCCAAUCGCUACUCCCCUUUCUUCCUUGAUUGGUGAGUGGUAUUGGAUCUUUUACUUUGAAAAAAUUAGAGUGUUUCAAGCAGGCUUUAUGCUAUGAAUACAUUAGCAUGGAAUAAUAAUUUAGGACUUCGGUUCUAUUUUGUUGGUUUCUAGGACUGAAGUAAUGAUUGAUAGGGAUAGUUGGGGGUGCUAGUAUUCAGCGGCCAGAGGUGAAAUUCUCGGAUUCGCUGAAGACUAACUUAUGCGAAAGCAUU